GAAUAUUUCUUCUUUGUUUUAAAUAUUUCUAUCGAUAAGAUUGAGAGUAGAGCAUAUUUGAAUGAUUUUGUAUUGGAAGAAAUCUCCAAUCCAGAAAAAUCAUUCCAAUUUUUGUUUGAAUCCAAUUUUCAUUUCCAUGCAGCAAAAGGAACUAUCGAUCAAAGAUGCAAACGGUAUUUUUUAUGCAGAGCACUUGUUGCGAGUUCCCAAAUUAUCUUAUGAUAAUGACUUGAGCGAAUCCAAUAUAUUAAAUCCGCAAUUUAUUCGAAACGCUCAUUUGUACGUGAGAUGUAUGUUUUGGUUAAUCAUUGUUUAGAAAUUUGUGGCCUUCAUGGUAUGACGGACUUGGUUCGGUUUGAUAGCCCAACUUUUUUUAAAGGCAUCGAUUUCUUCGAUCUCAUCCAUACGGCAAAAUUGGAAUUCUUAUUCAAGUGAAUGUUUGAAAAAAAAAAUCGAAAAAGAAUAAAACUAUAGAAAAUGUACUUACAGUUAUAAUUUUCAAUUUACUGGCUACCUCACCCUGCUUUUAUAUGUAUCAAAUGAGAAAAUCUUAACAAAGUCAAUUCUCAUAUCGAAAGUAAACACAAAACUUGUGAUACCAAUUUUGCACGAAUAAUUUCCGAGCGAUUUCAAUGUGCCAAUUUUGCAUUUCUUCAACUAAUUUUUACAUCGCUCCCAGUGUAUCCCAGUAAACCACAUAUUUCGUAAGAGAAUCUUAAGAGGAUUUCGAACUAAAAUCAUGACAUAAAUGUGAAGUGUGGUCAUUUAUGUCAUGAUAACCAUUUAAAAAAUUACUUCAGUUAAAUUGGGUUUCAGAAUUUGUGCUGCAAUCAUCAUUUUACUGAACAUGAGCCGCAUGUAUGUGGAUCCACUUGAACGCUUUGUAUCAAAUGCAAUGUGCUAUUUCAGCGAAUUCUAGUUCAUUAUUCAGCUGAACGUUCUAUAGUGAGGAUCGUGCAAAAAAGUUUUAUUAUUUUGCAAUCAUUGUCAUUGAUUUAUUAAAAUGGCUUCAAAAAUAUCAACAAAAAAACUGACCGAAUCGGAAAGUGGUGAAAUUGAUGCCAAAAAAGAAGAAGCAAACGGUAAAGAGGAGCAACUGAAAGGAGAUGAAAAAGCAGUAUCGGUAUCUGAAAGCAGUAAUUCAUCAACUAAAAAUGACGAUACAACUUCGACUGCUCGUUCGAUGUCAGAAUAUGUUGAUGAGAUAAAUAAAACGUUUGGUGACGCAUCGUUGACGAAAAAAACCAUUUCUGAAGUAAUAAACAGUGAUUUCAUGAAACAACUUGCUGCUGAUACAGAAAAUUUAACCGAAGAAGAAAAAUUGAAAAUGUGGGAAGGCUACUCUCUCGAAGAUGUUUAUGGGUUUUAGAUAAAAAUGACAUAAAUUGUUCA